rnacentral:lncRNA from 1 species
UUUUUUAAAGGUGGAAUGUCAUCGUUUGAGAAGAACCAAGCUUGGCAGACUCUUGAGGCAAUUACAUUAGAGCUCAUAGAACGGUUGCGAUGUCGUGUUGUAACAUGACUAUAUGGUGAAAGAUGAUAAUAUGGAUCUUAUUAUAGAAGAACCAAGUUAAAAAAAGGUAAAAAAAUAUAGAUAAAAGAUAGAAAGGUAGUAAAAAUUUUAGUAGUAAUGCUGCCUUUUUAAAAACAAUAGCUUCUACUUACUUUGUAGGGCCAAAAAUAAGGCAAAAUAAGAUAGAUUAAAAAAAUAAAUGAUAUAGACAUCUUUAGGAGAAAGUUAAGAGUAAAUUCUAGUAAAAAUUACU